rnacentral:rRNA from 1 species
AGAGUUUGAUCCUGGCUCAGGAUGAACGCUGGCGGCGUGCCUAAUACAUGCAAGUCGGACGGGGGUUCUUUUCGUAAGGAAGGAAUACCCAGUGGCGAACGGGUGAGUAACACGUAGGCGACCUGCCCCGGAGAGGGGAACAACAGCUCGAAAGGGCUGCUAAUGCCCCAUUCUGCUCACAGAGGUUAGAGGCUCAGUGAGGAAAGGUGAAGACGCUCCGGGAGGGACCUGCGGCCCAUCAGGUAGUUGGUGAGGUAACGGCCCACCAAGCCGAAGACGGGUAGGGGGCCUGAGAGGGUGGUCCCCCACACGGGCACUGAGAUACGGGCCCGACUCCUACGGGAGGCAGCAGUAAGGGAUAUUGCGCAAUGGGCGAAAGCCUGACGCAGCAACGCCGCGUGCCCGAGGAAGGCCUUCGGGUCGUAAAGGGCUUUUAGGGCUGAAGAGAACGGACGGUAAGCCCGGAAGAAGUGUCGGCUAACUACGUGCCAGCAGCCGCGGUAAAACGUAGGACGCAAGCGUUAUCCGGAGUUACUGGGCGUAAAGGGCAGGUAGGCGGGUCGCUAAGUUGGGUGUGAAAUCUCCCAGGCUUAACCGGGAGGGUGCACUCAAGACUGGCGGUCUGGAGGGCGGCAGAGGAGCGUGGAAUUCCGGGUGGAGUGGUGAAAUGCGUAGAGAUCCGGAGGAACACCAGAGGCGAAAGCGGGGCUCUGGGCCGCACCUGACGCUGAACUGCGAAAGCCAGGGGAGCGAACGGGAUUAGAAACCCCGGUAGUCCUGGCCGUAAACGAUGCCAACUGGGCGUUGGGGCGGACAGCCUCAGCGCCGGAGCGAACGCGGUAAGUUGGCCGCCUGGGGAGUACGACCGCAAGGUUAAAACUCAAA